UACGAAGGGUGCAAGCGUUAAUCGGAUUUACUGGGCGUAAAGCGCGCGUAGGCGGCUUGAUAAGUCGGAUGUGAAAGCCCCGGGCUCAACCUGGGAAUUGCAUUCGAAACUGUCUCGCUAGAGUAUGGUAGAGGGAAGUGGAAUUCCACAUGUAGCGGUGAAAUGCGUAGAUAUGUGGAGGAACACCAGUGGCGAAGGCGACUUCCUGGCCCAAUACUGACGCUGAGGUGCGAAAGCGUGGGGAGCAAACAGG
rnacentral:rRNA from 1 species